AAAUGGAACUCAAAGUAAUGAGUAAAGUAUUCCUGAUAACUAUGUUUUUUUGUUGAAGAAUAACAGUGAGAUGCUUGAGGUCACUAAUGAAUUUUUUAAUGACAUAAUUCCAAGUGUGCACGCUUCGUUGCAAUCUGAGAGAAAUCAGACUGUCAAGAAUCAGGGCUUCCUGAGUUACCAUAAUUUGAUGUUUGCGCCCUUUUGGUCAUUGGGUGAAUUGAGCCCCUUAACCUUCCAUGCUGUCUACUGCUGUUCCAAGCAGUAAUACCAUAGUACCUCUUUUAUUUAGGAGUUAGGCAGAAUUUGUUUUCAUAACCCUGGGUUAAUUUUUAUAUCAUUCAGUGCUGCCAGGAGAGAACACUAGAGGUUUCUUCGCCAUGUUGAAUAGUUCUGUUCCUCUUAAUUCAGAAAAUUUUGAAAGUGAAUCUGGUGACAAUAUUUCUCUUCCAUAACGAAAAGUCAUUCAUUGGAGCUUUUUGGCUUGAAAGAUUUUACACUGUCUUCACUUUUUCAUUGUCAUCCAGUCACAGUUCCAUUGUUUGGAAACCAAGAUAGUUGCUCUGAAACAUUUACACCUUCCACCGUUAUCUUCAUCCUUCAUUUCUUUAUGUGUCUGGCUUUUCUCUUUGGCCCAAACUGGAUCGACUGUUUUUAAUGAUACAGGGACUGACUAUGGGGUGUGUUCUAUUGACAAUGCUUCUUUGUGACACGUUGUCCAGUGUUUGUUUGGAAAGCCGAGUACACGUUUUGUUUCUAUCUUACUUGCAAAUCAGGGAAAGGAAAAAUCUACAAAGAACAUGAAAAGUGCUAUUUUAGUAAACACUUCAGAAGUUUCCGAAGUAAAUUCCCUCUAUUUCCUGCAGGAUUUCCACUGUACACUUUAGCUUUAAAGAAAAACAAAUCUUUUAUGUCUUAGAAUAUUCGAUUUAUAUGUUAUCUACUGAGUGAUCUUCUUCUUGGGACGAAGUCACUAGAGAGAAUGUUUUUCUCAGGUUCACUUCUCCCUUAAUGAAGUUCAUACCAGGGAAUUGAAAUCAAAGUCUGAAGAACAGCCUCUGCAGAAAAAAUGCUCAGCUUAAGAUCCAAAAGAAUCAGAAAGCUGGGACUGAAAGAAUGGGAGCAGGUGGAAGGGGAGAAGCAGCUCCCCUUCUCCUCUCAGCCGCAGAGGAGAAACUGAAAUUAGCUACAGAAGAGCUAUGGAUCUACGAGUGAAUUCAGCUCCUACCAGCAGCUUACACGAUGUCCAUUGUAUUACUUUGAAACUUUGUACAGUGUUUAGACCCAAGUAGCACACAAAUCUAUACAAAUAUUCAGGAGACAUUUAUUUAUAUAGACACUUCAGGAGAAAUGUGACAUUUUCCAGAUGUUAAGUUAAAAAUAUUAAUCUAAACAAGUUAAGUCACUAAAGAUUUCCUGAUCCCUGAUGCUGGCCAGACUAUGUGGAAAUGUGGUUCCUGAACAUGUUUCUGGAGGUGCUGGAUAUGAUUACAAACCUCAGGAAGCAGUUUGGUGGUGGACUAAUCAAUUGACAAGUAUGACCAUCCCAUUUAAGAGACCCACUUGUUGUAACCAUGAGAAAUAAUGAUGAAGAUACAAGGAAAAGAAGAUUUGGACUUUACGAUGAAAGAUCCUCAUUGCAGAAUUAGGGAGCUGUCACCACAGAUCGUGUGUAUGAGAACUCAGUUCUUAUAAUGGGAACCUGGGCCAAUUAACAUCACCCUCAACAUGGUGCUUCAUCUGAUGAAAGCCAUUUCACGCCCAGGAGAAGAGUAAAAGAAACAAAAGAACAGCUGCAGCAGUCAGAGCUCACCUUCGGACACCAGGUAGCCUGCACUCUGCCCAGUAGUUCCUAAGUGCUUCAGCACGUAACGCAGAUGAUCAUAACGGGACACUGAAUCUCUCCACAUGGGUUUUUAUUGAUGUGCUGACUCUUUCAGAUGGCUCUUGGUGAGAAGGUGACUCAGGACAACUGGCUCGGGGCUCGUGAUCUGGAGAGGGCGGUGGCUGAGCAGAGCAGGGAGGUGGCCUACUUGAAGUGCAGAGCCUUUAGCCGAUCCAGAAGCUGGUGUCACUCCCAUGAGUCACAAAAACAAGCACUCUACCAAAAAUGCCAAGAAGGACCAGGAAAAUGCUGGGGCCAUUUUCAGUUGGCAGUGUGGAUCCAUGGGGACCUCCUCUGUUAACUGGAAGAUUCUGCACACCCUGCCUACCCUAGAGGCCACCCUACGGGCUCCUGGGCACAUCCACCUCCUGAACCUUGGUGGCCCUGGGGACUACCCUAAACCCCUCCACCUACACCACUUGGCUCUUUUGCAGGUCCAGAUUUUGCUCCCGUGAUUGACAACAAAACUGACUCUACCACAAGGACCAAGAAGGACAAGGCCAUUAUGUAUGCAAGAGGGCCUGGUCCUUUCCUAGGUUUGCCUUGCAAGCUGUACCCCAUGGAUCACCCUUCAUCACCAGUCAUGGGCUAUGGGCUACCUCCAGCUCCUCCAAGUACUCAAUUUGGAGAAUUUGAAGUUUGAAGAGGACCCUGAACUGCGACAAAUGGGCUGUGGUCAUGAGAAGGCUGUCCCAGGCCCUGUCACUAAGACCUUUCCCAGUCUGGAGAACAGGCCAACUGGACCAGCUGCACCCUCUACCACCAGCGGAGCUGCCAUGGCCUUGAGCAUUGCAGGAAUUCCGGCAGCCGGCAGAGGGUGCAUGCGCGCGUGUGCGCAACUCGCCCAGGGAGGGCCUGGUCUUCUGCGUGCUCAGUGAUGGCGAGUGAUGGCGGGAGAAGGCAUUUGUUAGGUUUUUCUGAUCCAGUGUGCCUCAGAGCUGGAAAGGCUUCCUUGCUUCUGAGGUCCCAGUGCCUCUGAGUGUGGGCAAAGAGCCAGAGCUGCGUUUCCAGCAGGUUCCACCCCAGGCAGGGGGACACCCUGGAGGCUUCCAGCCACUUGGCAUCUCCUCAGUGGUGGGGCUGAGUAGUGAGGCAGGGGGCUGGGUGGCUUCCCCAGAAACGCGGGAUGGUCAGUGAGCGGCACAGUCCCAUGCAUUUUCUGGGGUGUUCUGUGGUUUGUUCCUCAUUUCCCCUGCCGCUUUGUGAACAAGAUGUAUUUCACUCAAGGAUCCGUGGAUUCAGGGGGUCCUGGGACACCACGUCCGAGAGGCUGGGGUUGGUUUGUUCCAGGUUCAGGCUUGUUUGGGGGGAGAAAUCCUGACACAAAUUCUUAGGAACAGGAGCCGCAUUCAGUUGGAAAGUGAAGAAGCCAAAUGUUGACUCUCAGGACCUUCUAGAAGAAUGAACUGGGAACCACUCUCCGGGUCCUGCCGGAACCAGAGCCCGAGCUGAAUCACCGGAUCCCUCUGUGACUGCUGCUGGUCAAAGGACAUACCAAGGCCACUUCUCAGUGUGGAUUCAUAGACCUGCCUGGGUUUUACAUUCACCACGCAUACUUUCAAGGCUCCUGUCACUGUAAGAAAGAAGACAGACCUUCUGAUGCACAUGCAAGUUUCUGUAACUUCAAGAUUCGUUGUGUCAACGUGGCUGCCAGAGCAUUUCUUCCUUUCCCAGAAGUGCCCUGCAUGUUGUACCCUGUGGGCUGCCCUUUAUCACCAUCCAUGGGCUUUGGGCCACCCCCACCUUCUCCAAGCUGGUGACCUUUGGGACCUCACCCUCCACCUCCACCAUCUGGAAAGAUGAUCUGAACAGUAGGAGUUAACUUAGAAAACACAUUUUGUCUUUCUUCUUGUUGAGUCUUGGGAGAAGAUGCAGUGAUGGUACCACAUGGCUUUCAGUCUAUGCAAGUCAGAAUCACCUCCAUCCACCUCCAGCCUUUAUGAGACCCAGGACGUGGUACAACUCCCAUGGGGAACAUCAGUUCUGUCUCUACCAAGGAUGCAGAGAAAGACAAACCUCCAGGCUUCUCCAGUUUAAGAUCAUCAUGGUAGCUGGCACCUCUGGAAGCCACAAGUGCGUCGAAGCUGAGGACCACGUGGCUCUCACUUUGUGUUUGUGGAAAUAACUUGAGGAGGAUGACACAUCACUGUACCCUCAAGUCUUCUGGAGCGGCUGACUCCUUCCACACCUUCUUUACAUGGGGUGGAACUACUCUGAAUUAUGAGAAGCGGCACGUGUACUCGAAAAUGUACAUGGAACUGCAGUCGUGAAGCUGUACCUGUGACACAGGACACAAGAGAAUGUGCUCAUGUGAACACAAGUGAAGGACAAGGUGGGGACUUGCCACACAGUUUACAGUAUUUAUACCCACGGCACACUUGAAGGAAUUUUGGACAGCACAUUUACCAAAAAAAAAGAUGGAAUGCUGACGGGUAUGAAAUUUACUUUGUCUAAGACCAUUCUAAAUGACGCAUACAAAAAUAUAAGUUGGAGUGAAGGCAAUUCUCAUUUUCAAACUGUAAGGAUACCCACAGAUUUUUCUGAACAUGUGAAAACCCUUGAUAGAAAGAAACAGGAGAGGAAGAAACAGCAAAAGUAAUGAUUUCACAUUGAGAAGAUCUGGAAAGAAUGAGGCAAGGUAGGAGACUUCCAAGUGGAGUGUGGUGUCAUCCUCCUUGAUUUAUUCCGGGAACACGUUGGAAAAGCCCUAUGGUCCUCACCCUUAAGCACGCUUAGCUUCUAAAGGUACCACAAAGAGAUGCCAGGUGGAAAACAGGGAAGCCUGUAGACUCAUGGGUAAAGGUUAUGCAUUUGGGGGGAAAAAAAGACAGCACCCAUACCAUACGGCACUCAAACCAGAGACAGUGGCAGGAGAGUGUGCUGCACAGAAAGAUGCGGCUCUCUGGAAAGACAUAGAACUGAAAAUGCCACAGCAUUUACCUUAUGCUUCUUGGCAGUUUUGGUAGAGCCAGUGUUGAUGUCACUCUUGGAAGUGACACCUGCUUCUGGAUCUGCUAAAGGCCCUAGAAAGGAUGGAGGUUUAUUUUGAUUUGAGUAGACUGUUUAGAGAUCAAAAACAAAAACAAAAACAAAACCCACCCUUCAUUCUUCUGACAACUUAAACUCUUUGCUCCAGUCAGAUCCCAAAUCAGAUGCAGAGGGUGUCCCACAUGCCUCAGGUGAUCCCCAAGAAGAACUUGAAGAACCAUCCCUUAUAACCUAAUGAAGACUCCUAAAAGCCCUGAUUCAGAUGUAUUCCUCACUCAUCGAACAACUAUAGAUGGCUGGGGGCACAACUAGAUGGACACACGUUACGUUGUGCCUCAUGCCUCACAGAUCCCAGCACAUGGACUGUGUAUAGGGCAUCACUGCUGAACUGCUCUGUCUGCUUUUCUGCACACGGUCCCAUUCCUUCCCCACAAGAGAGGCCUGUACCAACACCUGGUGGGGGAAAUGACAAAGAUGAUAUGUUGAGCAUGAGAAACUUGAGGAAUGUGGCAAUGGAAGCAGACACAUUCCCCUUGUAUCACAAUGGUCUGUGGCACUGCCCCUGCACCUCGGCCAAAGGCCUAACACCAACAAAAAUAAGAUGAGUGUGUUUUACAAGUCAACUUCUAGUGCUCAGAUCAUCUUACCAAGUGUUGCAGGUGGAGGGGUUUGGGGUGGCCCCAGGGCCACCAAGGUUCAGGAGGUGGAUGUGCCUAAUAGUCUAUGGGGGCGGGGCGCCUCUAGGGUAGGGCAUGCAAAAUCGUCCAGUUAACAGAGGAGGUCCCCAGGAUCCAGACUGCCCUGCAGAACAGAAGUGACAGCUACAUUCAUAUGCCAGACAAGAGAACAAAUAUCAAAACCAGAGAAGAAUGUGUUCGCACCUGCCACCUUCUCUGCCACCAGGAUCCAAGAGAGCAGCAUCAGUACCUGAAAGCUCCAUCCCUGCCACUGGAAACCACCUACAGCUUGGGGUAGUAGAUGCAAGAGGUUAACCUACUGCCACCACUCAUCACUGCCCAUGUCUGCGGAAGUAGAAUGGCAAGGGUCCUGUCCUAGAGGGUUAACAGAAGUAAUUACAGACUAAUGAAGUAGCAUUCUCUGGACAGGCAGCCAUCGAUGUCCAGGUUCACCCUGCAUCCCUCCUCUACGGCUACUCCAGAUGCUCUGUUUUUGGUAUGUUAAGAACACAAAAAAAUGAGUGGGAAUAAAUGGCUCAUAUUCUGCUCAUGGAAUCAUAGCCACUCCUGGCGAAAAGUUCUGCAGCUGGACCCUCACUUUGCCUCCUCUGCUUCUCUCGCUGAGAAAGGAGUCUUCCUUGCUGAAGUGUUGUCAAAGGCCUCUGAGACCUCUGGGGAGUGGAGGAUGCCUGGAAUCUUGCAGGGGAAUGAGAAUCUUCUGUGACAAAUAAGUUACUUAUGAAUGUCUACAAAGCUCAGAUGUGUUCAUCUUAAUUCAUAGGGAAUUCUGAUUUUAAGCAUACUACAGGACACAGAGUAAUUAUGCCCAACAGAAAAAAGGGGUAGAAAUUCACAUAACAGAUUUAAAGCAAGUGUUUUGGUAUAAAACUCCUGGUAUGUGUCAUGAGACUGUAUGAGCUCUAACAGUGACUGGGGACACAACCAGAAACUGCUCAUAUAAACAUAAUUGAAGGACACAGUGUUCAAACUCUUUUUACCUAAGGUAUAGCUGGAAGGAUUCCAGACAACUCAUUUACCAACAAAUAUGGGAAGGUGAUACGUGAUGACACUGACUUUAUCUAAGACCACUCUAAAUGGUACAGGGCACAAAAUAUUAAGUUGGAGUCAUGAUGUCGUUUUGCACUUUUGAAUUUUAAACAAUAUGACAGACUUUCUAACAGGUUCAUCUCCUAGCCAGAAUCAAGAAAGGAAGACACAGCAGCCACACUGUUCCCACAGAGGUGAGGUCUGGAAGGGGUCACCCAGCCCAGGAGGCUUCUGUUUGGAGUGUGGGGUCAUCCUCCUCUCAUUAUUUCCUGAACCACACGGAAAAACCUUAAGACCACAGAUGAUCACCCACAGGAAUAGGCUGCACAGCAGAAAUUGGACUGUGGCACAUCACAACAUGCUCCUUACCUCUCCUUGGAGGAUUCUGCAUCUCUGGUCUUGCAGCCAUUGGUUUCUGACUUGUGUAUCCCUCAGGCACCCUCUUUGCUUCCAUCCUGUCCAGUCUUGGAUACAGAAAAAUAAUGGACUUAUAUAAGAGUUGCAACACCACGUCGUCUUCUAGACAACAAACAGUGCACGCAUCAUCCCUGGAAACACCCAUAAAAACGCAAGUCAAAUGACCACACCUGUAUUUCAAAAUGCAAUCCAGGCAAAGAAGGGAUUCUCACCUUCAAUUUAAGAGCUUCAUCAGAGAGAAAAUUACUUUCUCUCUUAGUUUCCUGAAGACAUUUCCUUAAUUCAUUGUUGUAUAAAACACGAAAAAGGAAUCAGAAUUAAAAAAAAAAAAGCAUAGUGCUAGAUAAACCUACCUUCUAAUGUGUGACUCCUUUCACAAAUAAAGAGGUAGCUCUUUA